rnacentral:rRNA from 1 species
GAUGAACGCUGGCGGCGUGCCUAAUACAUGCAAGUCGAGCGAAGCGGGGACGGGUGAGUAACACGUGGAUAACCUCCUAUAAGACUGGGAUAACUUCGGGAAACCGGAGCUAACCCGGAUACUUAUCGCUGGUGCCGCUCUGCCUUAGCUAGUUGGUAAGGUAACGGCUUACCAAGGCAACUAUGAAUAGCCGACCGGAGAGGGGGAUCGGCCACACUGGAACUGAGACACGGUCCAGACUCCUACGGGAGGCAGCAGUAGGGAAUCUUCCGCAAUGGGCGAAAGCCUGACGGAGCAACGCCGCGUGAGUGAUGAAGGUCUUCGGAUCGUAAAACUCUGUUAUUAGGGAAGCGGUACCUAAUCAGAAAGCCACGGCUAACUACGUGCCAGCCGCCGCGGUAAUAC